UUUCUAGGGCCACUCCCGUGGCAUAUGGAGGUUCCCAGGCUAGGGGUCUAAUUGGAGCUGCAGCCACCGGCCUACGCCAGAGCCACAGCAACACAGGAUCCAAGCUGUGUCUGCAACCUACACCACAGCUCACCGCAAGGCCGGAUGCUUAACCCACUGAGCGAGGCCAGGGAUCGAACCUGCAACCUCAUGGUUCCUAGUCGGAUUCAUAAACCACUGAGCCACAACGGGAACUCCCACAAAAUUCUGAUUUAAAAGAAAAAUCCAAAAAACCAGGCUCUUUUGUGCAAUUUGACUAAAGAGUUUAAAAGUUAGAUGGAAAUGUAACAGGCCAAGAGCAGUCAAGAUACUCUUGAUAAACCAGGGAGAGGACUUGCCCAAUCAGAUACCAUGAUUUCUUUAUAAAUCCAGAGUAAUAAAGAUGAAGUGUUAUUGCCACAAGGAUAGACAAAUAGACCAUUGGCACACAGACUAGAGAGCCCAAAAUCUGCCCAGGCACACGGGGACACUUGAUACUAAGCAGCAGGUGAUACUGCAAAUCAGGAGGGGAAAGACUUUUCUUUUUUUCUUUUUAUGGCCACACCUGUGGCAUGUGGAAGUUCCCAGACUAGGGGUUGAAUCGAAGUUGCAGCUGCCAGCUGAUGCCUACGCUGGAUCUGAGCUGCUUCUGUGACCUACUCCACCACUUGCGGCAACACCGGAUCCUUAGCCCACUGAAUGAGGCCAGGGACCGAACCCACAUCCUCGUGGACACUGUGUCAGGUUUGUUUUUGUUUUUGUUUUUGUUUGUCUUUUUGCUAUUUCUUGGGCUGCUCCCGUGGCAUAUGGAGGUUCCCAGGCCAGCAUAAGGACAUUAAAGCCAGAUAAGGACACCACAAGAAAAGAAAACUACAGGCCAAUAUAUUUGGUAAAUACAGAUGCAAAAAUUCUCAACAAAAUACUAGCAAAUCAAAUUCAAAGGGACAUUAUGAGGAUGAUAUAUCAUGAGCAGGUAGGAUUAUCCAUGGGAUACAAAGAUGGCUCAACAUACAUAAACCAAUAAACUCGCAUGUGGGCUCUGGUGGGAGUAAGCUCCCGGCACAGGGCCGUGGUGGGCAUUAGCAGCCAUCUCUGGAAGGUCAACACAGUGACCACGGGAGCAGGUGACACUCAGGCGUGGGGCUGCUGCUUGGAGCAGGGGUCUGCCCAGCGAUCCUCCUGCAGGACCCACCCAUUCACCUACACCCAAAGUCAGUGAUGCCUCCGCACCCCCCACCCGCCCUGUGAGCUGAGCACCUUGUCCUGCAAGAGACAGGACUGCCCAUUGCAGCUCAGGUUUCCUGGUUUGCCCUGGGUGAGCAUCCCUCGCUUACUUUUUGAUGGCAAACACGGUCAGGCCAAUGGUGGUGUUUCUGAACUGUGCAUCCAGGACAGCAGAAUCAAAGGUCCCAUCCCAGAUGAUGGGAGCAAACCAGGGAGUCAUGACCAGCACGUCCACUCUCCUGGGGAGACGAGUCACAGCGUGUUAGAGCCGGGCACAGUGUUGUGGGCCACAGAGGGCAAGCGUUUGUCCAAAGUUGCACAGCCCGUGAGCAGCAGAGCUAGAAAGAGACAGGACUCCAGACUCCCAGCCCAGAGCUCUUUGCACCCUAAGCUCAGCACCCAAGACUCAACACUCCCAUCCCCUCACUGCCCUAAGUUGGAGUGUCCCUGAGUACCAGCCCGGUGCUGGCCCCACGAGACACUUCCGUGAGGCCUCGCAACCCUGUUUCCAGGAGGAGGAGUCUCGGCGAGGGAGGACAAGCACCACGCCCUCUCUCAGCACACGGGGACUUUGCCAUGAUAAGAAAUACAUUUGGGGGAGUUCCCUUGUGGCGCAGCAGGUUAAGGAUCUGGCUGGCUUUGUCACUCCAGAGGCUCGGGUGGCUGCUGUGGCAUGGGUAACUUACCCUAGCUGGGUAACUUCCACACGCUACAGGCACAACCAAAACACAAAACGAAACAAAACAACACAAAACUUUAUGUGGUCUCUGCCACUCCUCUCCCCUUACCUGACACAGGCCCUUGGAAUUGCUAGGGCCCUUGGAAUUUCCUGGGUCGCGGGAGCAUCUCGGUUCUAAUGAGGUGACUCUGGGUGGGCUCCUGGGUAGCUCGGGAUGGGGCUGGUCACCAGGAAGACCAAGCCAGGAUUAGAAACUCGGACCUUUCAGCCCCAUAUCCCAGCCUCCCGAGAGGAGAGGGGGCUGGAGAUUGAGUUAAUAACCAAUCAUGCCAAAGAGAUGAAGCCUCCAUAAAAAUCCCCAGACUACAGGGUAUUGAGGGCUUCUGGGUGGGCGGACAUGUGGAGGUGCGGGGGGGAGGCGUCCCUGGGGGAGAGCGUGGAAGCUCCGCCCCCUCCCCAUUCCCUUCUCGGUACACCUGUCCCCCCCAACUGUCCCUGAGCUGCAGCCUUUAUAAGGAGACAAGAAUCCAGUAAGUAAACUGCUUUCUUGAGUUCUGUGAGCAUUCCAGCAAAUGAUCAAACCCAAGGAAGGAGCGGUGGGAAAUGAUUUACAGCGAGUCGGUCAGGAGCACAGGUGACAGCCAGGAACUCGGGACUGGUGUCUGAAGUGGGGGCAGGGCUGCGGGGCUGAGCCCUCCACCUGCAGAGUCUGUGCGAAUUGCGGGCAGUGUCAGAAUCGCUUGGUGUGGAAAACCCACACAUGUGCUCUGGGUAGAGGAAACAAGAGCUUCCUUUUAGGGACAAAGCUUCGAGAGGGGAGGGGGCUCCUCCUGUCCCGCGUUCUUUGCCACUGCUGCAUUCUCCAGCGGGCACAGACACCUCUCACAUCUCCCUCCACUCACUCUCAUUCAUCAGGACAAAAGAAUCCACCAAAAAACUCAUGCCAACGUGUCCCUCCAGAUCUGCGCUGUCCCACAGAAACAGAGGUAACUAAAAAUCCUCAAGCGCCACAGAAAAGUCAAAGGAAGCAGGAGAAACUGCCAUUAAUUUGGUAUUUUUUUGUUUUACCCCAUAUAUCCAAAACAUCAUCAUUUCGAUUGGUAACCAAUCGUUUCUCUUGGAGGACAGUUAAUUUACAAUCUUGUGUCAGUUUCAAGUGUACAGGAAAGCGUCCUUUCUUUUAUAGGUUACUAUGCGAUACGGAGCGUAGUUCCCUGUGUGUACAGUGGGUCCUUGUUGUGUGACUAUUUUAUAUACAGUAGGGUGUGUGUGUGAAUCCCACACCCCCGGCACAUUUUUCGUGUAUGUUUAAGUGCAUCUCUUGGGUACCAAGUGUUUGAAACCCAGUUUGCGUUUCACCAUCAAUGGCACAU
rnacentral:lncRNA from 1 species